AUCUAGCCGAAGAGUCCUAAAAUAGGACGAAACGCGUGUCCUGGAU
rnacentral:hammerhead_ribozyme from 1 species